rnacentral:rRNA from 1 species
UGGGGAAUCUUAGACAAUGGGCGCAAGCCUGAUCUAGCCAUGCCGCGUGAGUGAUGAAGGCCUUAGGGUCGUAAAGCUCUUUCGCCAGGGAUGAUAAUGACAGUACCUGGUAAAGAAACCCCGGCUAACUCCGUGCCAGCAGCCGCGGUAAUACGGAGGGGGUUAGCGUUGUUCGGAAUUACUGGGCGUAAAGCGYACGUAGGCGGAYUAKAAAGUURGRGGUGAAAUCCCAGGGCUCAACCCUGGAACUGCCUCCAAAACUSCUAGUCUUGAGUUCGAGAGAGGUGAGUGGAAUUCCGAGUGUAGAGGUGAAAUUCGUAGAUAUUCGGAGGAACACCAGUGGCGAAGGCGGCUCACUGGCUCGAUACUGACGCUGAGGUGCGAAAGUGUGGGGAGCAAACAGGAUUAGAUACCCUGGUAGUCCACACCGUAAACGAUGAAUGCCAGUCGUCGGGCAGCAUGCURUUCGGUGACACACCUAACGGAUUAAGCAUUCCGCCUGGGGAGUACGGUCGCAAGAUU